rnacentral:rRNA from 1 species
UGAGUAACCUGCCCUUAACUCUGGGAUAAGCCUGGGAAACUGGGUCUAAUACCGGAUAUGACUCCUCAUCGCAUGGUGGGGGGUGGAAAGCUUUUUGUGGUUUUGGAUGGACUCGCGGCCUAUCAGCUUGUUGGUGAGGUAAUGGCUCACCAAGGCGACGACGGGUAGCCGGCCUGAGAGGGUGACCGGCCACACUGGGACUGAGACACGGCCCAGACUCCGUACGGGGAGGCAG